AUUUACCUGACGUAUCCCACAUAGGACGAAACGCGCAUCAAACUAGAU
rfam:Schistosoma margrebowiei strain Zambia genome assembly, scaffold: SMRZ_scaffold0000114